GACGAACGCUGGCGGCGUGCCUAAUACAUGCAAGUCGACCUUCGUGGCGAACGGGUGAGUAACACGUGGGUAACCUGCCCCUCAGAAGGGGAUAACACUUGGCAACAGGUGCUAAUACCGUAUACUGCUGGAUGUACCCGAGGUGCAUUAGCUAGUUGGUGAGGUAACGGCUCACCAAGGCCACGAUGCAUAGCCGACCUGAGAGGGUGAGCGGCCACAUUGAGACUGAGACACGGCCCAAACUCCUACGAGAGGCAGCAGUGGGGAAUAUUGGACAAUGGGCGAAAGCCUGAUCCAGCCAUGCCGCGUGUGUGAAGAAGGUCUUCGGAUUGUAAAGCACUUUAAGUUGGGAGGCGUUACCAACAGAAUAAGCACCGGCUAACUUCGUGCCAGCAGCCGCGGUAAUAC
rnacentral:rRNA from 1 species